GUCUUAUGAUUCACAGUCCUGGGUUCACUCUGUGGUCAAACCAGAAAAAAAUUAGAAGGAAGCCAGGUAUCUGGAAUGAAUUAACUCCCCCUCCCUUCCUCCCGCUUGCCCUCCUUCCCUCUUCUCCUUUCCCUUUCUCUUCCUUUUUCUCUCUCUCCCUCUCUCCUCUUUCUCUUUCUAAUUAUGAGGAGUACUGGAAAUUCAAACAGCUGGACCUUACAAUCAAACCUCUGUAUCUGAAUUUUCCACACCAAUGGUUCCAACGAUAAGGAACAAAAAUCUUUGGGAAGAGCAUCAGGACUGAAGAUGGAAGAAUCUCUACUUGUCCUCAUCCCCGAGGCAUGGCAUUCCCAGGUUCCAGCUGUGACCUCCUCCCUGCAGAUGCAGGCAGAAGAUGGUGUUAUGACAGAGGCGUUUUGCAGUGAUAAUGGGACCAGGUUCAUCUGGAGUUAGUGCUGCCCCUUCCUAAAGGGUUUCUGUUGCUGCGAACAGACAUCAUGACCACAGAAGCACUUAGAAAGGAAACGUUUCAUUUGGGUGGCUUACAGCUCAGAGGUUCAGUCCAUUAUCAUCAUGGUGGGACAUGGCAGCAUGCAGGCAUCAUGGAGGCAGACACGGUGCUGGAGAAGGAACUGAGAGUCCUACAUCUUGAUCCACAGAUGCUGUGUUUACAGGCAUGUGCAGCCAUGAUCAGCUUUUUACGUGGGUGUUGGGGAGUCAAACUGGAGUCCUCAUGUUUGUAGAGCAAUUGGUUGAGCCAGAAGCACUGGGAACAAUGUGAAUUUGCAACCGAGAUCUAAAGGAAGCACGAACAGCAUUGUGGGAUUGAUUCCUGAGCCUGUUGGAUCUGUGCUGAUGCCAAGUAGCUAGAACUGUAUGAACUAUAAUUAUUUGCUGAAAACCGUGUACAAGUUUCCAGCUUUUUAAAGAUUUCAGUUCAGUAGUGGUAUGGGUUUUACCCCUUUACUUAGCCUUCAUUCUUUUGCUUUUCAAAGUUUUACUGAGGCAUUUUUGACAAGCAAUAAACUGAGCAUACUCAAAGUCUGCAGUCAGCCCUCCGUGUCUGUAGGCUUUGUAAAUUCAAACCACUAUGAAUUGGAAAUAUUUUUUAAUUGCGCCUAUGCUGAAUUCGUACCGACCCUGUCCCCUUGUGAUCGUUCCCUAAA